GGCCUGUCAGCCACACUUCAGUACCAGGGAAGGCUAUGGAGUAAAUCAUCUUGGGUGAGAUCACACGGCACAUGCGUGGCGUCCACGGGAACAGGCCCAGCCAGCACAGGUUCAUGAAAGGCAGGUCGUGCUUGACCAACCUCAUCUCCUUCUAUGACUGGGUGACCAGACUGGGAAAGGCUGUUGAUGUAGUCUACCUAGACUUCAGCAAAGCCUUUGACACUGUCUCCCACAGUAUUCUCCGGCAGAAGCUGGCAGUCCGUGGCUUGGACAGAUACACUCUUGGCUGGGUAAGGAACUGGCUGGAGGGCCAGGCCCAGAGAGUGAUGGUGAAUGGAGUUAAAUCCAGCUGGCGACUGGUCACGAGUGGUGAUCCCCAGAGAUUGGUGCUGGGGCCUGGCCUGUUUGAUAUCUUUACUGAUGACCUGGAUAAGGG
ensembl:lncRNA